AACACAUGCAAGUCGAACGGGAGGUAUGAAGAAGCUUGCUUUAGAGAUACUUUAGUGGCGGACGGGUGAGUAACGCGUGAGGAGCUGUCCUAUGCAGGGGGACGAACAGCUGGAAACGGCUGCUAAUACCCCAUAAGCCGAGAGGUAAAAGGAUCAAUCCGGCAGAGGAGGUACUCGCGUCCUAUCAGCUAGUAGGUGAGGUAACGGCUCACCUAGGCGAAGACGGGUAGCCGGCCUGAGAGGGCGAACGGCCACACUGGAACUGAGAUACGGUCCAGACUCCUACGGGAGGCAGCAGUGGGGAAUAUUGGGCAAUGGGGGGAAAAACCCCUGACCCAGCGACGCCGCGUGGGUGAAGAAAUCCUUCGGGAUGUAAAGCCCUGUUGUAUGGGAAGAGCGGAAGACGGUACCAUACGAGGAAGCCCCGGCAAACUACGUGCCAGCAGCCGC
rnacentral:rRNA from 1 species